AUGAACGCUGGCGGCGUGUCUAAGGCAUGCAAGUUGUGCGGAUUAUUUUUUGUAGCAAUACAGAGAAUAGUUAGCGGCAAACGGGUGCGUAAUACAUUGGCAAUCUACCCCGCAAUCGGGAACAACUCUUCGAAAGAGGAGCUAAUACUACGAUGGCCUCAAAAGGACGCAAGUUCUAUUGAGUAAAGCGCAAAACGCGUUGCGGGAGGAGCCUAUGGCCUAUCAGCUUGUUGGCGGGGUAAAAGCCCACCAAGGCUAUGACGGGUAUGGGGUGUGAGAGCAUGACCCCACUCACUGGGACUGAGACACUGCCCAGACACCUACGGGUGGCUGCAGUCGAGAAUAUUCGGCAAUGGACGAAAGUCUGACCGAGCGACGCCGCGUGCAGGAUGAAGGGCUUCGGCUCGUAAACUGCUUUUACCAGGGACGAAUCAUGACGGUACCUGGAGAAUAAGAGGUUGCUAACUCUGU
rnacentral:rRNA from 1 species